rnacentral:rRNA from 1 species
UGGGGAAUAUUGCGCAAUGGGGGAAACCCUGACGCAGCGACGCCGCGUGUGGGAUGAAGGUCUUCGGAUUGUAAACCACUGUCGCGAGGGACGAAGCUCUGACGGUACCUCGAAAGGAAGCACCGGCUAACUCUGUGCCAGCAGCCGCGGUAAUACAGAGGGUGCGAGCGUUGUCUGGAAUCACUGGGCGUAAAGGGCGCGUAGGCGGCCCGGUAAGUAGGGGGUGAAAUCUCAUGGCUCAACUGUGAGACUGCCUUCUAGACUGCCAGGCUUGAGCACAGUAGAGGCGAGUGGAAUUCCCGGUGUAGCGGUGGAAUGCGUAGAGAUCGGGAAGAACAUCGGUGGCGAAGGCGGCUCGCUGGGCUGUUGCUGACGCUGAGGCGCGAAAGCGUGGGGAGCAAACAGGAUUAGAUACCCGUGUAGUCCCUGAGCGGGCUGGCAAGGCGCAU